rnacentral:rRNA from 1 species
GUGGGGAAUCUUGCGCAAUGGGCGCAAGCCUGAUCCAGCAAUGCCGCGUGCAGGAAGAAGGCCUUCGGGUUGUAAACUGCUUUUGUACGGAACGAAACGGUCCUGGCUAAUACCCGGGGCUAAUGACGGUACCGUAGAAUAAGCACCGGCUAACUACGUGCCAGCAGCCGCGGUAAUACGUAGGGUGCGAGCGUUAAUCGGAAUUACUGGGCGUAAAGCGUGCGCAGGCGGUGCUGUAAGACAGGCGUGAAAUCCCCGGGCUCAACCUGGGAAUUACGCUUGUGACUGCAGUGCUGGAGUGCGGCAGAGGGGGAUGGAAUUCCGCGUGUAGCAGUGAAAUGCGUAGAUAUGCGGAGGAACACCGAUGGCGAAGGCAAUCCCCUGGGCCUGCACUGACGCUCAUGCACGAAAGCGUGGGGAGCAAACAGGAUUAGAAACCCCAGUAGUCC